rnacentral:rRNA from 1 species
UCUGGUUGAUCCUUCCAGUGACAUAUGCUUGUCUCAAAGAAUAAGCCAUGCACAUACACGGCCAGCAUAGUAGUGAAACUGCAAAUUGCUCAACAAAUAAGUUAUGGUUUGUUUGAUUGCUCCAUCUGUCACUUGUAUAAUUGUGGCAAUUCUAGAGAUAAUACAUGCUGAGGAGUGCUGACCUCCCGGGAUGCGUGGAUUCAUCGGAUCAAGACCAAUCCAGGCUCGCCCAGCUGCUUUGGUGACCCUAGAUGACCUUGGGCCGAUCGUACAUCCCUGUGACGGCGACGAUACAUUCAGAUGUCUGCCUUAUCCACUUAUGAUGGUAGUUUCUGUGCCUACAAUGGUGACCAUGGGUAACAGGGAAUCCGGGUUAGAUUCCAGAGAGGGAGCCUGAGAAACAGCUACCACAUCCAAGGAAGGCAGGAGGCAGGCAAAUCAACCGAUCCCGACUCAUGAAGGUAGUGACAAUAACGUACAAUACAGGAGUCUUUCAAGGCUCAGUAUUUGGAAUAUGUGCACUUUAAAUCCUUUAACAGGGAUCCAUUGAAGGGCAAGUCUGGUGCCACCAGCCCAGGUAAUUGCAGCUCCAAUAGUAUAUUUUAAAGUUGCUGCCGUGAAAAAGCUCAUAGUUGGAUUUUGGUAUCAAUCUUCCGGUCUGCUGCGAGCAAGCUACCGCCUGUCUGUGCUCCUGCUCUCGUGCCCCCCUUGAUGCUCUUGCGUGAGUGUUCUGGGUAGCAUUUACUUUGUGAAAAUUAGAGUGCUCAAGCAUGAAGGCCAUCUGAAUACAUCAGCUAGGUAUAAUGGAAUAGGACUCUGGUUCCAUUUUGUUGGUUUCUGGAACUGGGGUCAUGAUUGAGAAGGGCAGCUAGGAACAUUCGUAUUGGGCUGCUAAAGGUGACAUUCUUGGACCUGUCGAAAGACAAACCAAAGUGAAAGCAUUUGACAAGAAUGUUCACAUUAAUCAAGAACGAAAGUCAGAGGUUCAAAGACGAUCAGAUACCGAUGUAAUUCUGACCAUAAAUGAUGCUGACCAGCGAUCUGUCAGGGUUGUUUCCAUGACCCAUUAAGCAGCUUCCCGAACCCCGAAGUAUUUUGGUUGCGGGGGAGUAUGGUUGCAAUGCUGGAACUUAAUGGAAUUGAUGGAAGGGCACCACCAGGAGUGGAGCCUGCAGAUUAAAUUGACUCAACAUGGGAAACGAGACCUGGCCCAGACACGGAAGCAUUGACAGUUGGAUAUCUCUUUCUCAAUUCUAUGGGUGGUGGUGCAUGCCUUUCUUCGUUGAUGGAGCGAUUUGUAUGGUUAAUUCCGAUAAGAAACGAGACUCAUCCAUUCGAACUGGUUACACGAUUCUCAAGGGUCGGCGUUCAAAUUCUUAGAGGUACAAGUGGCGUUCAGCCACACGAGAUCGAGCAAUAACAGGUCAGUGAUGCUGUUAGAUAUCUGGGGCAGCACGGGCACUGCACUGAAUGCAUCAGCAUGUGUCAACCUGCGGGUAACCUGCUGAACCCAUUCAUGAAAGGGAUUGCAAUAAUUUCCCAUGAACAAGGAAUUUACAGUAACUGUGGAUCAUGUGAUUGUGUUGAUUAGACCCUGCCCUUUGUAGACACUGCCUGUUGCUACUACCGAUUGGAUGGUUCAGUGAUGUCCUCAGAUCAGCUCCGCCAGGGUCAGCAACAACCUGUGCAUCAAAAGGAUGAUCAAACUUGAAUAGUUGAGGAAGUAAAAGUUGUAACUAUGUUUCUGUAGGUGAACCUGUUGAAG